UCUUAUCUGCCUCUUUCGCCGAUCAGAUCAGCAACAUCGCCCUCAUCCUUUGGUGGACGGUGGCAGUUUGGACCGAAGCGGUGGUGAGAUUAAUGGCUGAGAGCAUCAAGACUUGGUUUGGUGGCAGUACGAAACUAAACAAGGAGGUCCUCCAGCUGGGUAGAUGGCCAGUGGUUGCAGAAAAUUAGAUCGGAGGUGAUAUGGAUUUUUGGAGUGGGACUUUCAAUGGGUAGUGAAUUUGGUAUGAGCUGGGGUUAGGCCAUUGCUAAUUUGCUAUUGUUGUGGCGUGGUGAUAUAAAGAGAGAAACUGUGUUGAGAUUGUAAGUUAGAGCCUCAUAAGUGAUUUGCUUUGAUCUAGACGCAGGUGUCAGUAAUGAUGUUGGUCGGAGAAAGAGGCAUAUUUGGAUUUGUCUGUUAACAAUUUUUUACUUCAUUGCAAACACUAUCAUAGGCUAAUUGAUCUUUUUUAUUUUCUGGGAAAAUGAGAAGUCAAAACAAUGGGAACUCAAGACAUCGAAAAUUGAUGAGAUAAAAUAUAAAAUUCAUGUUCUAUUUUUUGAGGAAAGGAAGUGAAUCCCGCUUCAGUCCAAAUUGCCACCAUCCAGAAGUCCACCAAAUGUUGAGGAUGAUGAUCUCUGAGAACUCACUUUCUGAUAAUAAGAAGUUUGGAAAAUGAGAGAGCGAGCAAGAGAUGUUGAGGAUGAUGAUCUUGGUCAGAGAAAGAGGCAACGAAGAG